GAUGAACGCUGGCGGCGUGCCUAAUACAUGCAAGUCGAGCGAACGGACGAGAAGCUUGCUUCUCUGAUGUUAGCGGCGGACGGGUGAGUAACACGUGGAUAACCUACCUAUAAGACUGGGAUAACUUCGGGAAACCGGAGCUAAUACCGGAUAAUAUUUUGAACCGCAUGGUUCAAAAGUGAAAGACGGUCUUGCUGUCACUUAUAGAUGGAUCCGCGCUGCAUUAGCUAGUUGGUAAGGUAACGGCUUACCAAGGCAACGAUGCAUAGCCGACCUGAGAGGGUGGUCGGCCACCCUGGAACUGGGACACGGUCCAGACUCCUACGGGAGGCAGCAGUAGGGAAUCUUCCGCAAUGGGCGAAAGCCUGACGGAACAACGCCGCGGUAGUUGUGAAGGUCUUCGGAUCGGAAAACCCUGUUUUUAGGGAAAAACAUAUGUGUAAGUAACUGUGCACAUCUUGACGGUACCUAAUCAGAAAGCCACGGCUAACUACGUG
rnacentral:rRNA from 1 species